rnacentral:rRNA from 1 species
GAUGAACGCUGGCGGCGUGCUUAACACAUGCAAGUCGAACGGAAAGGCUCCUGCUUGCAGGGGUACUCGAGUGGCGAACGGGUGAGUAACACGUGGGUGAUCUGCCCUGCACUUCGGGAUAAGCCUGGGAAACUGGGUCUAAUACCGGAUAGGACGAUGGUUUGGAUGCCAUUGUGGAAAGUUUUUUCGGUGUGGGAUGAGCUCGCGGCCUAUCAGCUUGUUGGUGGGGUAAUGGCCUACCAAGGCGUCGACGGGUAGCCGGCCUGAGAGGGUGUACGGCCACAUUGGGACUGAGAUACGGCACAGACUCCUACGGGAGGCAGCAGUGGGGAAUAUUGCACAAUGGGCGCAAGCCUGAUGCAGCGACGCCGCGUGGGGGAUGACGGCCUUCGGGUUGUAAACUCCUUUCGCUAGGGACGAAGCGCAAGUGACGGUACCUGGAGAAGAAGCACCGGCUAACUACGUG